UCCAAGUGGGCCAUUUUUGGUAAGCAGAACUGGCGAUGCGGGAUGAACCGAACGCGAGGUUAAGGUGCCGGAAUGCACGCUCAUCAGACACCACAAAAGAUGUCAGUUCAUCUAGACAGCCGGACGGUGGCCAUGGAAGUCGGAAUCCGCUAAGGAGUGUGUAACAACUCACCUGCCGAAUGAAUUAGCCCUGAAAAUGGAUGGCGCUGAAGCGGAUCACUUAUACUCGACCAACAGGGCAAAUGCGAAGCCCUGUUGAGUAGGAGGGCGUGGAGGUUGUUGUGCA
rnacentral:rRNA from 1 species